AGCGAACGCUGGCGGCAGGCUUAACACAUGCAAGUCGAGCGGGCAUCCUUGUGGUGUCAGCGGCAGACGGGUGAGUAACGCGUGGGAACGUGCCCUUCGGUUCGGAAUAACUCAGGGAAACUUGAGCUAAUACCGGAUACGUGCGAGAGCAGAAAGGUUUAUCUGCCGAAGGAUCGGCCCGCGUCUGAUUAGCUAGUUGGUGAGGUUAUGGCUCACCAAGGCGACGAUCAGUAGCUGGUCCGAGAGGAUGAUCAGCCACACUGGGACUGAGACACGGCCCAGACUCCUACGGGAGGCAGCAGUGGGGAAUAUUGGACAAUGGGGGCAACCCUGAUCCAGCCAUGCCGCGUGAGUGAUGACGGCCUUAGGGUUGUAAAGCUCUUUUCUCCGGGACGAUAAUGACGGUACCGGAGGAAUAAGCCCCGGCUAACUUCGUG
rnacentral:rRNA from 1 species